GAUGUGAGACUUGGCUGGAAGGUCACCUGCUUGCCAGGCCACUGGAGGAGGAGUCUGGACCCCACCAGGGGCACCACGGGCCAGCUGGUGCCGCCGACCCUCGCCCUCCCGGGACUGUCCCGGCCUCCGCCGCGCUGUCAGCCGCGCCACCUGGUGGAGACGCUCGUCCGCCGGCGCCCGCCCCGGUGGUCCCGGCCCGCCUCGUCCAGGCUGGCGGCGCCCCCUCGCGCCGCCUCCCCUAGGAGCCCGUCUCCUCCAGUCCGGCGAACGUCCCGAGAACGGCCACCGCGCGGGUUGCUCCCCCAGCCCUGGAGGAACCAUGGAGCUGACUAGGCCAGUGCUGAGUGCUGCUUGGAGGAGGAGGAAGACCACCGGCUGAGGAAGGCAGGCCCCACCACCAGUCAGCCCCCUGCCUCCCUGGCAGUGAACACAGGGUGAUUGAUCUCCUUCUUAAAGUGACAGUGACAGGGCCUGCACAGUCCCCAAGGGCUGUGCUUCUGUGAGCAGGGCAGGUGGCUCCAGGGCACACAGACUCAUAGUAUGGAACCUUCAGGAGAAAAACUUAAACUUCCCUGCACCACCUACUGCAAUCCUAUGUACUUUGCAAGGCCCAGCUCAAAUUCCCCCACCUCCAGGAAGCCAUCCCAGAGUGCACACUUCCUUCUUGGGCAACCACCACAGGGACGCAGGUCACUGCCCAGGCUUGCUCUCUGUGGCACCAGGUGCUGGUAGCCUGUGGGCCAGUUUUCACAGGUUGACUCUAAGCCCUGGAGGAAGAGUCCCUUUUAUUCAAGCCCCUGCAAAGUACCUAAGGGGGGCUGAGAACUUAUUGAAGGAUUUAAAAGCCAUGGUACAGUUACUCAGCCACACUGUCAACUUUUUUUCCAAUACUGCAGCCACAUUGUCCCCUCCUAAGUUCUCACUGUGUAAGAUUCAAACAAUAUAGAACACAUCGAAAUUCUCCUUCAGCCUCCCAUUGCCCUGUUUUAAUUUUCAUGAGGUUAAAGCUGUCAUCUUUAUCAUUUCUGGAUUUUGUAUAUUGUUUAGGAAGGCUAUGAUUAGAAAAAUAUUUUUAUGGUUUUGUUUUUAUGCUUCACUCUAUGAAGAGUAUAUUCUUAGUUCAUAAGGAAUUCUAUUUUGGAGGUGGUGUAAAAUAGCUAUCUAACAUUUCAGGUGGGGAGCCAGAUGCCCCAAACCAUUUACUAACUAGGCUCUUUCGCUACUGUUUCAAGAUGCCACCUUGAUCAUAAAAUAAAUUCUUGCAAACAGGUCUACUUUUGGAUUCUCUUACCUGAGCUAGCCAUUA